UUGUAAUCAAAGGUUCUGUCAUUGUGUUGUUGUCCACUGGGGCUGGUGUUCCAAAUCCGGGUCUCCGUGUGACGACGGAGGUGCUGGCUUUUGAACUGCACUUGCUUGCCACAAAGCAUCAGAUGUUUCAUCUGAUUCCAACACCUCGG